AAAAAGACAAACUCUAGGUUUCCAUGUCCAACGUUUGAUUGUCCGUCUUAUAUGAAAUUUUUUUAUAAUUAGUAUUUUCAUUAUUGUUAGAUGAUAAAAUAUGAUUAAUACUUUAUGCGUGACUUGUCUUUUUAAUUUUUUUCAUAAUUUUUUCAAAUAAGACGGACGGUCAAAUGUUGGACAUA
rnacentral:pre_miRNA from 1 species